AGUGAACGCUGGCGGUAGGCCUAACACAUGCAAGUCGAACGGCAGCACAGUAAGAGCUUGCUCUUACGGGUGGCGAGUGGCGGACGGGUGAGGAAUACAUCGGAAUCUACUUUUUCGUGGGGGAUAACGUAGGGAAACUUACGCUAAUACCGCAUACGACCUACGGGUGAAAGCAGGGGAUCUUCGGACCUUGCGCGAUUGAAUGAGCCGAUGUCGGGUUAGCUAGUUGGCGGGGUAAAGGCCCACCAAGGCGACGAUCCGUAGCUGGUCUGAGAGGAUGAUCAGCCACACUGGAACUGAGACACGGUCCAGACUCCUACGGGAGGCAGCAGUGGGGAAUAUUGGACAAUGGGCGCAAGCCUGAUCCAGCCAUACCGCGUGGGUGAAGAAGGCCUUCAGGUUGUAAAGCCCUUUUGUUGGGAAAGAAAAGCAGCAGGUUAAUACCCCGCUGUUCUGACGGUACCCAAAGAAUAAGCACCGGCUAACUUCGUG
rnacentral:rRNA from 1 species